AAAAGCUGUGCCUGGCUGGCUAGUCAAGUGACUGGAAUGGGGCAGGCCAGAAUUAUAAAAACCCUGGGCUUGGAGGCAGUGAAGGAUAGCAGCUGAAGGGGAAGAGGGUUGUGCUUAAGAGCUCCAUAGAGAGGCUUGGCUGUGGGUCUCGCUGCUGUGAGAGAGGAACUCCUGAGGACUCAUAGAGAAGUGAUGGUAGCCCCACAUGGAGGAGCAUAACAGAUGGUGGGAAGCAGAAGCAAAGAGCCAUGGAAAUAUAGCUACUAUGUCUAUGGAAGAAUACAUUUUUCAGUGAGUUAUGACUGACUGGAGUUUCUUCAGUGUUGACAUGAAAACUAGAUAAAGUACCAUAAAGCUUGACUUUCAGAUUAAAAGGGUAUGUUACCUGGGACACACAAUCUUGGGAAGUGAAGAUUGAUUGAGGAAAAUAACUUAAUAUCAAGAAAACAAAAGUGUAUCUGCAGAAACACACAUGUGCAUGCAUCUGAUAUAUACCAGCAAUCUCCCAUGUCUGGAUUAAAAAAAUCAAGUGACUUA